rnacentral:tRNA from 2 species
ACUGCCUUAAUCCACUUGGCUACAUCCGCC